rnacentral:rRNA from 1 species
UACGUAGGUGGCAAGCGUUGUCCGGAAUCACUGGGCGUAAAGCGCGCGCAGGCGGCGAUCUACGUCUGGGGUGAAAGCCCGGAGCUCAACUCCGGGACUGCCUUGGAUACGGGAUCGCUUGAGGAUUGGAGAGGCAAGGGGAAUUCCACGUGUAGCGGUGAAAUGCGUAGAUAUGUGGAGGAACACCUGUGGCGAAGGCGCCUUGCUGGCCAAUUUCUGACGCUGAGGAGCGAAAGCUAGGGGAGCAAACGGG